ensembl:snoRNA U8 U8 small nucleolar RNA
UCAUCAGGUAGGAUAAUCCUCACCUGUUCCUCCUUUUGGAGGGCAGAUACAGAGUGAAGUAAGUCAGAAAGAGACAACAAAUAUCGUACAAUAUCGCUUAC